rnacentral:rRNA from 1 species
AGUCUGGUGCCAGCAGCCGCGGUAAUUCCAGCUCCAAUAGCGUAUGCUAAAGUUGCUGCGGUUAAAAAGCUCGUAGUUGAAUUUCAGGGUGGUAUUUCCGGUCCGCCGAUGGUGAGAACGGUAGUGCUACUCUUCCUUCUGAAUAACAAUUCUGUCCUUCACUGGGUGGGGUUGGACUUCAGAUCGUUUACUUUGAAAAAAUUAGAGUGUUCAAAGCAGGCGCAAGCCUUGAAUACACUAGCAUGGAAUAAUAGAAUAGGACUUUGGUUCUAUUUUGUUGGUUUCUAGAACUAAAGUAAUGAUUAAUAGGGACAGUUGGGGGCAUUAGUAUUCCAUUGUCAGAGGUGAAAUUCUUAGAUUUAUGGAAGACUAACUACUGCGAAAGCAUUUGCCAAGGAUGUUUUCAUUAAUCAAGAACGAAAGUUUGGGGAUCGAAGACGAUCAGAUACCGUCGUAGUCCAAACCAUAAACUAUGCCGACUAGGGAUUGGAGGACGUGUUUGUUUACUCCUUCAGGACCUUAUGAGAAAUCAAAGUUUUUGGGUUCCGGGGGGAGUAUGGUCGCAAGGCUGAAACUUAAAGGAAUUGACGGAAGGGCACCACCAUGGAGUGGAGCUUGCGGCUUAAUUCAACCCAACACGGGAAAACUUACCAGGUCCAGACACAAUAAGGAUUGACAGAUUGAGAGCUCUUUCUUGAUUUUGUGGAUGGUGGUGCAUGGCCGUUCUUAGUUGGUGGAGUGAUUUGUCUGCUUAAUUGCGUUAACGAACGAGACCUUAACCUACUAAAUAGUUAUGCGAAAUCUUAUGGUUUCGUAGUCAACUUCUUAGAGGGACUAUUCGUGUUUAACGAAUGGAAGCUUGAGGCAAUAACAGGUCUGUGAUGCCCUUAGAUGUUCUGGGCCGCACGCGCGCUACACUGAUGCAGUCAACGAGUAUUUUUCCUUGGCCGAGAGGUCUGGGUAAUCUUUUCAAACUGCAUCGUGAUGGGGAUAGAUUAUUGCAAUUAUUAAUCUUAAACGAGGAAUUCCUAGUAAGCGCGAGUCAUCAGCUCGCACUGAUUACGUCCCUGCCCUUUGUACACACCGCCCGUCGCUCCUACCGAUCGGAUAUUCAGGUGAAAUGAACGGACCGCGCUUGCAGCUGGGUGACUGGCCAGCAGGUGUUGGGAAGUCUAUUGAACCUUAGUAUCUAGAGGA